UCUUCUUGUUGUGGUAAGAAGUCUGACCUGUCCACUGAAAUUUGAAGGACCGCGGUAUUUUGACCGUGCAAAGGUAGCAUAAUCAUUAGUCUUUUAAUUGAAGGCUGGUAUGAAUGGUUUGACGAAAUAAUAACUGUCUCUGGAUUAUUAGAUUGAAUUUUAUUUUUGAGUUAGAAAGCUUAAAUGAUAUUAAGGGACGAGAAGACCCUAUAGAUCUUUAUAUUUUUGUUGAUUAUUAUGUAUUGGAUGUUUUUUAUUUAUUUGAUAUUAGUAAUAUUUUGUUGGGGUGACAUGUGAAUAUUUAAGCUUCUUAAUUUUUAAUUUUGAUAGAUAAAUAUAAUAUCCUGUAUUAUGGAAUUGAGAUUAAGAUACCUUAGGGAUAACAGCGUAAUUUUAUUGGAGAGUUCAUAUCGAUAAUGGAGAUUGCGACCUCGAUGUUGGAUUAAGAAUAUAAGUUGGUGUAGUAGUUAAUUGUAUUGGUCUGUUC
rnacentral:rRNA from 1 species